CCUAUAUGUGUUCCGUACAUGCCUUUGACAAUUAAAGCUCUGAAUUCCUUAGGGUUCUCACAGAAGAGAGCAUAUGUUUACCCUUGUGAGAAAAACCACUCAUAAGCUUCCCUUGACAUUUUAUUUCAUUUUUUGAAACUAGGAAAUGUGCCGUGGUCAGUGGGUCAGAGCUUCGCGCAGUCCCCGUGGGACUUUAUGAGGAAGAAUAAGGCAGAGCACAUCACUGUGCUUUUGUCAGGUCCUCAAGAAGGCUGUCUCAGUAGUGUGACUUAUGCCUCCAUGAUCCCUCUCCAGAUGAUGCAGAACUACCUCAGGCUGAUGGGGAAACUGAACAGAGAGAGGUAAAAUGCUCAAAGUCAUGCAUCUAGCAAGUGAUGAAGCCAGGAUUGUGCAAGUCUCUGAUGUGUAUGAGAUCAAUCUGAAACUAAUACUACUGGUAUAAAACAUUAAACAUAAUUUUGCUUGCUGCCUUAAUUUCGAUGACCUUUUUAAAUAAAUGAGUUGGAACUAUGACCCUUGAC
rnacentral:lncRNA from 10 species